CACGUAGGGGGCGAGCGUUGUCCGGAAUUACUGGGCGUAAAGGGCGCGUAGGCGGCCUAAUAAGUCAGAUGUGAAACCCCCGGGCUUAACCCUGGGCUUGCAUUUGAAACUGUUGGGCUUGAGGACAGGAGAGGAAAGCGGAAUUCCCAGUGUAGCGGUGAAAUGCGUAGAUAUUGGGAGGAACACCAGUGGCGAAGGCGGCUUUCUGGACUGUAACUGACGCUGAGGCGCGAAAGCCAGGGUAGCGAAC
rnacentral:rRNA from 1 species